rnacentral:rRNA from 1 species
AACGUGCCCAAUCGUGGGGGAUAACGUAGAGAAAUUUACGCUAAUACCGCAUAAGAUCUAAGGAUGAAAGCGGGGGACCCGUAAGGGCCUCGCGCGAUUGGAGCGGCUGAUAUCAGAUUAGGUAGUUGGUGUGGUAAAAGCGCACCAAGCCGACGAUCUGUAGCUGGUUUGAGAGAACGACCAGCCACACUGGGACUGAGACACGGCCCAGACUCCUACGGGAGGCAGCAGUGGGGAAUUUUGGACAAUGGGCGAAGGCCUGAUCCAGCAAUGCCGCGUGCAG